rnacentral:rRNA from 1 species
GCCAGACUCCUACGGGAGGCAGCAGUGGGGAAUAUUGCACAAUGGGGGAAACCCUGAUGCAGCGACGCCGCGUGGGUGAAGAAGUACUUCGGUACGUAAAGCCCUAUCAGCAGGGAAGAAAAUGACGGUACCUGAUUAAGAAGCCCCGGCUAACUACGUGCCAGCAGCCGCGGUAAUACGUAGGGGGCAAGCGUUAUCCGGAUUUACUGGGUGUAAAGGGAGCGUAGACGGCCAUGCAAGCCAGGGGUGAAGGCCCGGGGCCCAACCCCGGGACUGCCCUUGGAACUGCAUGGCUGGAGUGCGGGAGGGGCAGGCGGAAUUCCUGGUGUAGCGGUGAAAUGCGUAGAUAUCAGGAGGAACACCGGCGGCGAAGGCGGCCUGCUGGACCGCGACUGACGUUGAGGCUCGAAAGCGUGGGGAGCGAACAGGAUUAGAUACCCUUGUAAAG